GAUUAACGCUGGCGGCGUGCAUAACACAUGCAAGUCGAACGAUGAAACUUAGUAGACUUCUUCGGAAAGACACUAAGCGGAUUAGUGGCGAACGGGUGAGUAACGCGUGAGUAACCUGCCUUACACAAGGGGAUAGCCUUUGGAAACGAAGAAUAAUACCCUAUAAAACCAUAAAAGCACAUGCUAGAAUGGUCAAAGUGAUAGCGGUGUAAGAUGGACUUGCGUCUGAUUAGCUAGUUGGUGAGAUAAAAGCUCCCCAAGGCAACGAUCAGUAGCCGGCUUGAGAGAGUGUACGGCCACAUUGGGACUGAGACACGGCCCAGACUCCUACGGGAGGCAGCAGUGGGGAAUUUUGCACAAUGGGGGAAACCCUGAUGCAGCGACGCCGCGUGAUUUAGAGGGCCUUCGGGUUGUAAAAAUCUUUUGUAUAGGAAGAAAAUGACAGUACUAUACGAAUAAGGUCCGGCUAAUUACGUG
rnacentral:rRNA from 1 species